CCUACGGGGUGCAGCAGUAGGGAAUCUUUCACAAUGGGCGAAAGCCUGAUGGAGCAACGCCGCGUGCAGGAUGAAGGCCUUCGGAUUGUAAACUGCUUUUAUAAGCGAGAAAUAUGAUGGUAACUUAUGAAUAAGGAUCGGCUAACUACGUGCCAUCAGCCGUGGUCAUACGUAGGAUCCGAGCAUUAUCCGGAGUGACUGGGUGUAAAGAGUUGCGUAGGUGGCAUAAUAAGUAGAUAGUGAAAUCUGGUGGCUCAACCAUUCAGACUAUUAGCUAAACUGUUAGGCUCGAGACCGUUAGUGGUAAGUGGAAUUUCUGGUGUAGGAGUGAAAUCCGUAGAUAUUAGAAAGAACACCGAGAGCGUAGGCAGGUUACUGGGACGGUUCUGACGCUAAGGCACGAAAGCGUAGGGAGCAAACGGGAUUAGAUACCCUUGUAGUC
rnacentral:rRNA from 1 species